GUUUAGCACUGACGAGUGCCAAAUAGGACGAAACGAGAGUCCUAGAU
rnacentral:hammerhead_ribozyme from 1 species